UACGUAGGUGGCAAGCGUUGUCCGGAAUUAUUGGGCGUAAAGCGCGCGCAGGCGGUCCUUUAAGUCUGAUGUGAAAGCCCACGGCUCAACCGUGGAGGGUCAUUGGAAACUGGGGGACUUGAGUGCAGAAGAGGAAAGCGGAAUUCCACGUGUAGCGGUGAAAUGCGUAGAGAUGUGGAGGAACACCAGUGGCGAAGGCGGCUUUCUGGGACGGUACUGACGCUGAGACGCGAAAGCGUGGGGAGCGAACAGG
rnacentral:rRNA from 1 species